ensembl:lncRNA
GCGCUCGGCCCGCGGCCUCUUUCCACCCUCUCCCUUCCAGAAAGGAUGCGCCCGCCGAGGACUUCAGCCUUCCCUUCCAAAGGGGAAUCGCUUCUAGAAAGCUUUUCUCAGAAGGAGAGAGACAGAUUAUUCGGUUGGAAAGAGAAGCAAAUCUUAAGAGCAAAACGAGGGAGGAUCAAAGGGUCGGUUCGUGUGAACUGAAGACGGGAGCCUUUCCAGGGGGGCAGGACCUUUUCCGAUCUCGGGCAAGACAUUUUGGAGCCAGUGAGCCAGUGAGGAUCAAAAUCAAGAAAUUAAAUUUGGAGGCUGAGUUCCCAGCGUCAAUCAUUUGCAGUUGGACAGAGGAAAAAGAGAACCAGAACAGAGCUGCUGGGAGGAGGCUGAGCUGGGCGUGGGGACCUCUGAAGGCAAGACUGGGCUGAGGAACUGCCCCGUGCAGGUAACUCGCUUAAUGACCGGCCUCCUUCCCCGGGAUUGGACUGACCUUUUCCAGUUCUGUGGCCACUGCUGAGUUUUCCAAAUUUGCUGGCAUAUUGAGUGCAGUACUUUCACAGCAUCAUCUUUCAGGAUUUGAAAUAGCUCCACUGGAAUUCCAUCACCUCCACUAGACUGCAUAGG